CCUACGGUGCGCAGCAGUGAGGAAUAUUGGUCAAUGGACGAGAGUCUGAACCAGCCACGUAGCGUGAAGGAUGACUGCCCUAUGGGUUGUAAACUUCUUUUAUAAAGGAAUAAAACGAGGCACGUGUGCCUUUUUGCAUGUACUUUAUGAAUAAGGAUCGGCUAACUCCGUGCCAGCAGCCGCGGUAAUACGGAGGAUCCGAGCGUUAUCCGGAUUUUUUGGGUUUAAAGGGGGCGUAGAUGGGUUGUUAAGUCAGUGGUGAAAGUUUGCGGCUCAACCGUAAAAUUGCAAGUGAUACUGGCAGUCUUGAGUACAGAUGAGGUAGGCGGAAUUCGUGGUGUAGCGGUGAAAUGCUUAGAUAUCACGAAGAACCCCGAUUGCGAAGGCAGCUUACUAAACUGUGACUGACAUUGAUGCACGAAAGUGUGGGUAUCAAACAGGAUUAGAUACCCCUGUAGUC
rnacentral:rRNA from 1 species